CGUGCACUGGUGGGGUCCCUCGGCCUGGCCUGUGCCCUCUCGAAAUCCGAGACUCCUCAGAGGAUGUUGAAGAGCUGGUUUUGGUCUGAUCCCUGCAGGCCAGGUUGAGGGACCCCACCAGUGCAUG
rnacentral:pre_miRNA from 1 species